GCAGUCGCCGCGGUAAUACGUAGGGUGCAAGCGUUAAUCGGAAUUACUGGGCGUAAAGCGUGCGCAGGCGGUUAUAUAAGACAGAUGUGAAAUCCCCGGGCUCAACCUGGGAACUGCAUUUGUGACUGUAUAGCUAGAGUACGGCAGAGGGGGAUGGAAUUCCGCGUGUAGCAGUGAAAUGCGUAGAUAUGCGGAGGAACACCGAUGGCGAAGGCAAUCCCCUGGGCCUGUACUGACGCUCAUGCACGAAAGCGUGGGGAGCAAACAGGAUUAGAUACCCCCGUAGUCCCUGUCUCUUAUAC
rnacentral:rRNA from 1 species